AAGGCCAGAAGAGGCCGUUCCCUUGGAGAACAGGCCAGGGUAGGUGCUGUCCCAUGCCCUCAUCAUGCGCUCACCUUGCCAGGCACUGGGCUGGGGGCUGUGGGCACCGCCCGCCCGGAGGGGCAGUGUGAGCGCAGCAGCUCUGCUCCCCAGUGCACGUGAGGGAUUGUCUCGUCCCUGGGACUGGGCCUCUCAUGCCCCAGGGCCAGCAGCUGCCAGGCCUGCCCGGGGCUGGGGCAUUUUCGGCUGUGUAUGUGGCCCUUCUCCAGCAGGCAGGUCUGCCCUUCGGCCUCAUGGCAGCUGGCACUGGGGCCAGACUGGGCACCCAGCACCGCCCCUGCCACCUGCAUCUCGCUGUCCAUUCUGCUGACAGAGAACAAGAGGCACCUGGCUGGUGUGAGGCGGGGAACGGACCAUGGGGCCUUUCCCCCUCGGGGACCCUGCCACUGACCCUGGUCAGGAUGGGACAGGCUGGCUGGGGGGCUCAGGAAUGGAAGCCGAGGCCUUUCCCCUCCAGGGCCGGGGGACUGGCUUGCUCAGGGAUAUGGGGCCUUUCACCUCUGGGACCGAAUCGGGACACGUACUGGCACUGUUUGCGGGUGACUGGAUUUCUAAUGGGGAUGGGGCGGGGGAGGGGCCUGACUGGGCUGGGCUGGGGGAUUGCAGAGCUGAGGCUGGUGCGCUGGGACGCUUGGGGCUGCAUUUUGCAGCUGCGGGGGCACAAAGAAGCGUCCCCUCCAUCCAGCUGCUCUGGAAGGACUCCCUGCCCCAGCCCAUGGGCUGUUCGUGUUGCUGUGAGUUGUAUUAAUUUAUUACUGACUAAACGGGGCCAUCAAACCUGGGAUGGACCCGGCCCUCCCCCCAGGAGGCUGCUGGAUCUGGACAGCGCUGGAGGAGGAUGGGGCCCUUUGCUGGGCGUUUUGCUAGGGGCUCCCCCAGCACACGCCUCUCCUGCCAUCGCUGCCCCAGCCGUCACUGGGCCUGCCCUCCAAUGCCCUCAGGGAGCCCAGCCGGCGGACAGGAACCGCAGCGGCUCCCGCCCCCCCAGCCCCACCAGCAGAGGGGCCCCAGCAAAUGGACUGGGACCAGGGAACUCCUGCCCCCCUUUCCUUGGGGCGGGGUCGUACCUGCGCACUCAGCCGCAGCAUGGCCGGCCCCCUCCCCAUCUAGCCAUGGGACGCUGCAUGUUUCCCUUGCCCCUGAUGCCCAGGACCCUGAACCCUGGUUUCUUCCCCCUUUUCAGUCGUUUUGUAAAUGUGCCAAACGCUGCCGGGCCACAGCCACGCAGUAAAGAGCCUUUUGGAGCUGCGCCUCUGUCUGCUUGUGGGGCUGUGCCGGGCGCUGGGUGUACCUGGGGCAUGGGGGGGGCAUGGGGGGGGGCACAGGGCCAUUGCCCCCCCUUUGCACCCGAGCCUGGGCGGGUCCCUGUGAGCCAUGGGGCAGCUUCCCCCAGUUGCGAAUGACCACGGAGGGGCUGCAGCUGGUGGAUCCCACCGCACCCCA
rnacentral:lncRNA from 1 species